rnacentral:ncRNA from 1 species
GAUAGCUGGGAAGCGGAAGUUGCUGUCUUGAGGAUAUGAAGAUAUCGGACAGGCAGGUAAUUUCGUGGAGCGAAUGUCAAGUCAUAGAUACUGGCGACG